GAUGCGUCCAUGAAGUCACCAGCCCCAAGCCCCUCGUGGUGGGUGGUGAUGGAACCGUCAAAGCAGU
rfam:Bos taurus thioredoxin reductase mRNA, complete cds.